GCUGGGCAUGAUGGGGCAUACUUGUAAUCCCAGCUGCCAGGGAGGCUGAGACUAGUAGAUCAGUUGAGCUUGGGAGUUCUGAGCUGCAGGAGGGCUAAAGCCACCCAGGUGUCUGCACUAAGUCUGGCACCAAUAUGGUGAUCCCCAGAGAGCCCAAGGAAGGGCAAACCAGUCCAGGUCAGAGAUGGAGCUGGCCCGAGCUUCCAUGCCAAUCGGUAGUAGAAUCAGUCUGAGUGGUCCCUGCACUUCCAGCCUGGUGAGAUAGGGAGACCCAUUCUCAA
rnacentral:SRP_RNA from 1 species